AUUGAACGCUGGCGGCAUGCCUCACACAUGCAAGUCGAACGGCAGCGCGGGGCAACCUGGCGGCGAGUGGCGAACGGGUGAGUAAUAUAUCGGAACGUACCCUGGAGUGGGGGAUAACGUAGCGAAAGUUACGCUAAUACCGCAUACGAUCUAAGGAUGAAAGUGGGGGAUCGCAAGACCUCAUGCUCCUGGAGCGGCCG
rnacentral:rRNA from 1 species